GUCGUGAGAUGUUGGGUUAAGUCCCGCAACGAGCGCAACCCUUGUCAUUAGUUGCUACAUUCAGUUGGGCACUCUAAUGAGACUGCCGGUGACAAACCGGAGGAAGGUGGGGAUGACGUCAAGUCCUCAUGGCCCUUAUGGGUAGGGCUUCACACGUAAUACAAUGGCGCGUACAGAGGGUUGCCAAGGAGCGAUCUGGAGCCAAUCCCGCAAAGCGCGUCGUAGUCCGGAUUGCAGUCUGCAACUCGACUGCAUGAAGUCGGAAUCGCUAGUAAUCGCGGAUCAGCAUGUCGCGGUGAAUACGUUCCCGGGUCUUGUACACACCGCCCGUCACACCAUGGGAGUGGGUCUCACCAGAAGCCGGUCGCUUAACCCGCAAGGGAUGGCGCCGACCACGGUGAGAUUCAUGACUGGGGUGAAGUCGUAACAAGGUAGCCGUAUCGGAAGGUGCGGCUGGAUCACCUCCUUUCUAGAUCAAGCGCCCUCCCAGUUCCCACCAUCUAUCGGUUGUUCAGCAGUAGAGGCCUAAGGGUCUGUAGCUCAGUUGGUUAGAGCACCGUCUUGAUAAGGCGGGGGUCGAUGGUUCGAAUCCAUCCAGACCCACCAACCGACCGCAAUGAGGAAUCAAUCGUCAGCGCCGCGCGAGCGGGGCUGACGAGUGCUCCUUCAUCAGGAAGCGCUGGGUGCCGUUGGGCACCAUCGGCUGCUCUUUAACAAUCCGGGAUAGAAGGUAGUUGUUCUUGCGAGAGCGCGUUGUGAUUGAGGCGUGGGUAGCGAGGACACUGGGUUAUGUAUUGCAUCGUGUUCUCGUGUCCGAAGAGGUUUGGGCACGGGAUGCACAAACUUAAGCGUGAGAGUUACCUAUUGCUUUGAGAUGCCCUUGGGGACUUUGCCCUGGGGUGCUUUGCGCUCUAAAGGCGCAAGGCGGCAAGGUUAUAGGGUCAAGCGAAUAAGUGCAUGUGGUGGAUGCCUUGGCAAUGAUAGGCGACGAAGGACGUGACAGCCUGCGAUAAGCUGCGGGGAGCCGGCAAAUGGGCGCUGAUCCGCAGAUUU
rnacentral:sRNA from 1 species